CACGCAGAGGCCCCCUCUACGAACCCCGCCAGGUUCGGAAGGAAGCAACGGUAAGUGGUCAAAGGGGUCGUCUGCAUUUUC
rnacentral:SRP_RNA from 2 species